rnacentral:rRNA from 1 species
CGGACCUCAGAUCAGACAAGACUACCCGCUGAGUUUAAGCAUAUCACUAAGCGGAGGAAAAGAAACUAACGAGGAUUUCC